CUUAACCUGGCCGAACCCGCAAUCCAUUUAUUAACAAAUACAAAGUGUAGGGUUUCUAAAAAGGACUAGUUUCUUAAUCCUAAAAGUAUAUCCGCCUCCUUCAUCAUUGAUGUGUCCUUUCUCUACUUCAAGAUUCAAGUUGUUACUGCUUUGAGAUCUUAAUACUGAGCCUUCUUCAUAGAAGCAAGUACUCCUUUCUUUCGCAGCUUUACUGUAACUAGCUGAACAUCGAUAUUGCUUGUGUUGCAGCUUCAUUCUCCAUAAAAUGAGAUAAAUGAUAUAUAUUUGGUCAACUAAGAUGGAUCCUGUCUUCUGAUUAAAGCUAUAAUAGCCAAGCUUGGGCAUUUGAAGUCAUUCCUUAUUUAAGACAACGCAUGAACUACCAGGAAGAUGUUUCAUGUCCAAGAAUUCUGAGAUGGUUAUCGGCCAAAAUCGAUAAAAAAGAAAAAUUUCUUGAUCUCUUCACCCCCUGAAGGAAGUAAUUGUGCAUCAGUGGCUUGUUCCGAUCAAUCGAGAGUUGAAGAUGUCAUAUUUAUUACUUUAUGGUCUGUGCAAACUUUAUUGGAACCUAUGGUCAUCGAUAGAAUAAAUAAGAAAUUGUUUAGAACAACAACCAUCACAAGAAAAAUAAUUUUGAAGGGUGGGCUUUUUGUUGCUGAUGGUGUUAGUGGUGAUGGAGUUAUUGGUGGUGGUAGUGGUGUUGUUGUUGGGGUUAAUGAUGCUCCUCUUGCAGUUUUUGAAACAACAAACCAUUAUGUUUAUGAUUAUACUGGUUUUAGAGCUUUUUUCCCUCCUAGCGAAUGUUUUACAUGCAAAUGUCAAGGCUGCAAGGCAAGUGAUUAAUGCUAUUAAUGCAUUAACUGCUUCUGUAAAGGAAUUGACAUCUAAGAGGGGUGUCAUUCCAUCAAAGAGGAUUUCAUAUCCAUACACUCCAUUAGAUAUUAAGGCGGCUAAGAGAAGGAGGAAAGAAAUUUUCAAGACAUCAUCAAGCAUCAAAAAAAGCAAAAUUAAAACUCCUCUGUCUCUGUCUUACACUUUUGAUCAAUGUACAAAGGCCACGGGAGAGCAGCAUGAGUUGAAGAAAGUGAAUAUAUAUCACCUGUUCUAACAAACAAACUGAUUACAUAUCUGUUGCAACAGAUGACAUAUCUGCUGAAAAUUAUCAAACAGAUAUAUACAUCUGUUGCAAUAGUAGACUAACUUGUUGCAUCAAACGCAUCAUCUAUUGCAACAUAUAUCUCUUCUGUUUUAGAAAAUCAAAUAAUUCUUUCUAUUUUUUUAAAUUUGUAACAACAGAUUACCUAUCUGCUGUAACAGAUGGGCCAUCAUUGGGACUGACUUCCUACUAUUUUAGUUUGUCCAAAUAGAUGAGUCAUAUGUUGCAAUAGAUGGGUCAUCUGUUGAAAAUUAUCAUACACGUCUUCCUCCUAUUUUGAUUUAUCCCAACAGAUGAUCCAUCAAUUUUAGAAUAUGACUCAUUUAUUUGGACAAAUUAAAAUAGGAAGAAGACCUGUUUGAUUUGCUAAAACAAAUGAGUUAGUAUCUCUGUGAUUAGCAUUGACAAUUCUGGCUUUUUAGGUGGAUGCCAUAGUAGAAGCUACUGCUGAACAACAUAAUAUAACGGUUGGUAAUCCAUUAACUACUUCCAAAGAUGAAAAAGUAAUGUCUGUCAGUCCGGAAGAAUGGAAGAAUUACCCAUUUAAAGGGUUCAACAUCUUGGACGAGGCUCCAAAAAUCUAGUAAAGUUGAUCGACGACUAUUCAGAAUAGAUUGCCCAUGGGCUAUUAAAGCUUCAUGCCGGGAGUGAUGUCGGGAAGGAUACAUUCUCAACCAUCGUCUGAGAUACAGAAGCUGGCUAAAAUAUUGCCUACUUGAUGUAAGUGGCUUUUUGAACCAAAAGGUUCGUACUGAUUGAUUGACGAUUGAAGCAUACCGAGAUAAAAUGGGAAAUUCAUUUGAUGUAAAAUAUGUUGAAAAAAUUGCUCAACAACUCAUUGGUAUCCUGUAAAUAUCAAUCAAAUAUCAUGAUUUAGUUUCAGUUCAUAAAUUUCACAACACUUACAUUAAUUGUAAGAUAUAGAUUAUUUGAUUUCUACAAACGCAGGAAUUGCAGUCUUUUUGUUGUCGCUUACACCAAGUAUUUGAGUGAUGGAUUACAUGUACCAAAUAAUGAACUUGAUUUCGGAUUACUCCAUAAAAGAUAUGCUAAUCUUUUAUGGAAAUACAGAGAAGCGAAAUCUCAGAAACCGUACGCAAGAGACAUUAAAGAUCCACGAUGACCAAAGCCAAAUUCUAU